rnacentral:RNase_P_RNA from 1 species
UGGGUUGGUCAGGUGGUUGCGGCAUAUCUCAGGAUAUGCUGAGGAAAGUCCGCACUCCACAGGGCACGAUACCGGGGAAAUCCCGGGGUGGGGCAACCUACCGGAUAGGGCCACAGAAACAUACCGCCGGUUCGCCGGUAAGGGUGAAAAGGUGGUGUAAGAGACCACUGGCAAACACAGCAAUGUGUUUGUGAGGCAACCCCUAUCGGGAGCAAGGUCAAACAGGCGCAAGUGAAUAGCCCGUUCAUUUGCCUGAAGAGGUAAUUGCGCCGGGUAGACUGCAUAGACAGAUAACCACUCAGGCAGGAUUAUUUUUUGCUGGACAGAAUGCGGCUUACAGACCAACCCAAUAA